ACGGGAGGCAGCAGUGGGGAAUAUUGGGCAAUGGGCGCAAGCCUGACCCAGCAACGCCGCGUGAAGGAAGAAGGCUUUCGGGUUGUAAACUUCUUUUGUCAGGGACGAACAAAUGACGGUACCUGACGAAUAAGCCACGGCUAACUACGUGCCAGCAGCCGCGGUAAUACGUAGGUGGCAAGCGUUAUCCGGAUUUACUGGGUGUAAAGGGCGUGUAGGCGGGAUUGCAAGUCAGAUGUGAAAACCACGGGCUCAACCUGUGGCCUGCAUUUGAAACUGUAGUUCUUGAGUACUGGAGAGGCAGACGGAAUUCCUAGUGUAGCGGUGAAAUGCGUAGAUAUUAGGAGGAACACCAGUGGCGAAGGCGGUCUGCUGGACAGCAACUGACGCUGAGGCGCGAAAGCGUGGGGAGCAAACAGGAUUAGAUACCCUGGUA
rnacentral:rRNA from 3 species